rnacentral:rRNA from 1 species
AGAAUCAACGCUGGCGGCGUGCCUAACACAUGCAAGUCGAACGAGAAAGUGGAGCAAUCCAUGAGUAAAGUGGCGACCGGGUGAGUAACACGUGACUAACCUACCUUCGAGUGGGGGAUAACCUAGGGAAACCUGGGCUAAUACCGCAUAACAUCUUUGGAUCGGAAGAACUGAAGAUCAAAGGAGCAAUUCGCUUGAAGAGGGGGUCGCGGCUGAUUAGCUAGUUGGCGGGGUAAUGGCCCACCAAGGCUUUGAUCGGUA